CUAAGCAUCAGGUGUCCAACAACCGUACCCCAAACCGACACAGGUGGGCUGGGAGAGUAUCCUCAGUCGCUGGAGAGAACUCGGGUGAAGGAACUCGGCAAACUAGCACCGUAACUUCGGGAGAAGGUGCGCCCGCGUCAGGUGAAGGCCCUCGCGGCCGGAGCCGAGGCGGGCCGCAGUGACCAGGUGGCUGCGACUGUUUACUAAAAACACAGCACUCUGCCAACACGAAAGUGGACGUAUAGGGUGUGACGCCUGCCCGGUGCCGGAAGGUUAAGUGAUGGGGUUAGCGCAAGCGACGCUCUUGAUCGAAGCCCCGGUAAACGGCGGCCGUAACUAUAACGGUCCUAAGGUAGCGAAAUUCCUUGUCGGGUAAGUUCCGACCUGCACGAAUGGCGUAACGAUAGCCACACUGUCUCCACCCGGGACUCCGUGAAAUUGAAUUCGCUGUGAAGAUGCAGCGUACCCGCGGCAAGACGGAAAGACCCCGUGAACCUUUACUACAGCUUUGCACUGGACUUUGAGCCUUCUUGUGUAGGAUAGGUGGGAGGCAGCGAAGCCGGGACGCCAGUUCCGGUGGAGCCACCCUUGAAAUACCACCCUGGAAUGCUCGAGGUUCUAACCUCGGAUCCUGAUCGGGUUCAGGGACCGUGCAUGGUGGGUAGUUUGACUGGGGCGGUCUCCUCCCAAAGCGUAACGGAGGAGCGCGACGGUACCCUCAGCGCGGUCGGAAAUCGCGCACGGCGUGCAAAGGCCAAAGGGUGCUUGACUGCGAGACGGACAGGUCGAGCAGGUGCGAAAGCAGGUCUUAGUGAUCCGGUGGUUCUGUAUGGAAAGGCCAUCGCUCAACGGAUAAAGGGUACUCCGGGGAUAACAGGCUGAUACCGCCCAAGAGUCCCUAUCGACGGCGGUGUUUGGCACCUCGAUGUCGGCUCAUCACAUCCUGGGGCUGUAGUCGGUCCCAAGGGUAUGGCUGUUCGCCAUUUAAAGUGGUACGCGAGCUGGGUUUAGAACGUCGUGAGACAGUUCGGUCCCUAUCUGCCGUGGGCGUUGGAGCGUUGCGGGGCGCUGUUCCUAGUACGAGAGGACCGGAAUGGACGGACCCCUGGUGUACCGGUUGUCCUGCCAAGGGCACGGCCGGGUAGCUAUGUCCGGAGGAGAUAACCGCUGAAAGCAUCUAAGCGGGAAGCCCUCCCCAAGAUGAACGCUCCCGAGUCCUUGAGACUCCUGAAGGUCCG
rnacentral:rRNA from 1 species